rnacentral:lncRNA from 1 species
AGGUAAUCACAAAAGCUUUAAACAAGUAUUUUUUAUCAUCAUCAGAAAGGGCGAGAUUGUUAGCAACAUGGUUCAAUUGAAGUCAAAAGAGUUUUGAUGAUGAAGCUAACCUUGGGUUUGAAAAUUAGAGAAAUUGUUAUUGUUAGGUAUUCGGGUAAGAAUUCCUAACUAGCUCUCUUUCACACACACACUCAAGUAAUCACAGAUCAAGAAAGAUGAAAAAUACGUGUUGCAUUCACAUGAAAGAAUCAAGAAUGCAAAGAAAACACAGGAGCUUAACCUCCUUCACCAGAUACAAGUAUCGGUCAACAAUNUUAUCAAAGUCUCUAACUNUCCUCUCAAAACAAUAACAGGGGUCUUUAUAUAGACCCUGUCCCGCCCCCUUCUUAUUUUUGUAUUCUUUUCACCCUUUACUAUACUCUCUAAGUCCUAACAAUACUCCUCCCCUGAAAAUCGACCUUGUCCCCAAGGUCGGACUGAAUAUGCUCCAGCAUCGUCAUCCUACUCCGCCUGCCGCGAAGGUAGUAGCCCCAUCCGUUUCUGCUCAACUUCUACCCCUUCGUCCUCUUCUUCAUCUUCUGCCAACAACACCACGCGUAGGCUCUUCUCAGGACAUUGGUGUCCAGGGCUGAAAGGCCCCCCACAACGAAAGCAUCUCCCUUCUUCCCGACAUUUCAAAUACUCCGGGUAAGGCAAAUUUCUUGAAUUCUGAUUCCGACUGUCACCUCCUCCGUAACUUCCGCCCCUCGCCGGUCCAUUUUCCGUCGCGCUAUCAUGUCUCACCGACCCGACACUCUCGGUCGGUGUCGCUCUUCCCAGAUUAAUUCUCGGCAGCUCUGUCCUGGCCACCACAACUCCUUCUCCGGUCGUCCGCCCCCAAUAAGGAAGGUUUUUGACCACGGUCCACCCUAUCAAUCCUAAGCCACGAAGAGCCUCCUCCACAUCUCGCACAACAUUCAUCGCCGACAUCAAAUUGCGGGGGUCAUGGGGUCGCAUCUGACAUCGCAACUCCUCGCGUAAGCCCGCCAGAAAGUAUCCCAGCAAUUGGUUAUCCGUAAACUCCUUCGUCUGUCCAGCCAAAGCCUCGAACUCUCACACGUAUUCCUCCACGGUGGCCGUCUGUCAGAUCGCCGCCAUCGUCUCGAAAAUCCCGCCUCGGUGACGACUCUCGAAAUGAAUCAACAGUGCCUCCUUGAGGCCCUCCCAGGUUUGGUUUCUCGCCUUAUCCUUCCAAAAUUUGAACCAGUAUCUGGCGCUUCCCUCCAUGCUGAUAUGGGCCAAUUCGACUUUCUCUGCAUCCGCUACCUUUUGAAUCUGGAAAAAUUUCUGUGCCCUGUUAAUCCAAUUCAAAGGAUUGGGCCCCUAAAAAAUGGGUAAUUCCACCCUUCGUCUCCAAUUGGGUAGGUUUUCUUAUCGCUCUUUGUCCCCUUCACCUCCGUUGUUCACGCGCUGGUUAUCACCAUCGUUAUUGACCGACCUUUGACUCCCUUCGGAACUUUCCUCCCCUUGCUUGUUGCGCUGACCCAUUAUCUUUAUCAAUUCUUGAAUGUCUUUGCGCAUCGCGAUCGACUCUUGGCGGUUUGCUGCCGUUUCCGCCUUCAAUCCAUCUACCGCCAACUCUAGGUGCUCCAUCUUUCCCUCGACUACUUUUAUUCUUCCCUCCAUCGGCCUUGUUUUCCUCUGAACCGAUCCGGCAGGUUGGACCACUUUGUUAGGUAUUCGGGUAAGAUUUCCUAACUAGCUCUCUUUCACACACACACUCAAGUAAUCACAGAUCAAGAAAGUUGAAAAAUAUGUGUUGUAUUCACAUGAAAGAAUCAAGAAUGCAAAGAAAACACAGGAGCUUAACCUCCUUCACCAGAUACAAGUAUCGGUCAACAAUUUUAUCAAAGUCUCUAACUAUCCUCUCAAAACAAUAACAGGGGUCUUUAUAUAGACCCUGUCCCACCCCCUUCUUAUUUUUCUAUUCUUUUCACCCUUUACUAUACUCUCUAAGUCCUA